UACGGGGGGGGCAAGCGUUGUUCGGAAUUACUGGGCGUAAAGGGCUCGUAGGCGGCUAACUAAGUCCGACGUGAAAUCCCAAGGCUUAACCUUGGAACUGCGUCGGAUACUGGAUGGCUUGAAUUCGGGAGAGGGAUGCAGAAUUCCAGGUGUAGCGGUGAAAUGCGUAGAUAUCAAGAGGAACACCUGAGGUGAAGACGGGUUGCUGGGCUGACACUGACGCUGAGGCGCGAAAGCCAGGGGAGCAAACGGG
rnacentral:rRNA from 1 species